rnacentral:rRNA from 1 species
UACGUAGGGGGCAAGCGUUGUCCGGAAUCAUUGGGCGUAAAGCGCGCGUAGGCGGCCCGAUAAGUCUGCCGUAAAAGUCAACGGCUCAACCGUUGAAAGUCGGUGGAUACUGUCGGGCUAGAGUCCGGAAGAGGCAAGUGGAAUUCCUGGUGUAGCGGUGGAAUGCGCAGAUAUCAGGAGGAACACCUAUAGCGAAGGCAGCUUGCUGGGACGGUACUGACGCUAAGGCGCGAAAGCGUGGGGAGCGAACAGG